rnacentral:rRNA from 1 species
UUCCGGUUGAUCCUGCCGGAGGCUACCGCUAUUGGAGUUCGAUUAAGCCAUGCGAGUCGCGAGUCUUAGGGACUCGGCGUACCGCUCAGUAACACGUGGGUAACCUGCCCUAUGCUGGGGGAUAACCUCGGGAAACUGAGAAUAAUACCCCAUAGUUCACCACGCCUGGAACGGUGGGUGGAUGAAAGCUCCGGCGGCAUAGGAUGGGCCUGCGGCGUAUCAGGUUGUAGGGGGUGUAAUGUACCCUCUAGCCAUCUACGCGUACGGGUGUUGGGAGACAUCGCCCGGAGAUGGAUUCUGAGACACGAAUCCAGACCCUACGGGGUGCAGCAGGCGCGAAAACUUGGCAAUGCGAGAAAUCGUGACCAGGGAACUCCAAGUGCAUCGGGUAAGACCGAUGCUUUUCUUGACUCUUCAAAGGUCUUGGAAUAAGGGGUGGGUAAGGACGGUGCCAGCCGCCGCGGUAAUACCGGCGCCCCAAGUGGUAGUCGCUUUUAUUGGGCCUAAAACGUCCGUAGCCGGUCUGGUACAUUCGUGGGUAAAUCAAGGCGCUCAACGUCUUGAAUUCUGCGAGCACGGCCAGACUUGGGACCGGGUGAGGUGUGGGGUACUCUCAGGGUAGGGGUAAAAUCCUGUCAUCCUGAGAGGACCACCUGUUGCGAAGGCGCCACACUAGAACGGAUCCGACGGUCAGGGACGAAGCCUAGGGGCACGAACCGGAUUAGAUACCCGGGUAGUCCUAGGUGUAAACGCUGUGGACUUGAUGUUGGGAGUGCUCCGAGCACCCUCAGUGUCGAAGCGAAGGUGAUAAGUCCACUGCCUGGGGAGUACGGUCGCAAGGCUGAAACUUAAAGGAAUUGGCGGGGGAGCACUGCAACCUGAGGAUUGUGCGGUUUAAUUGGAUUCAACGCCGG